rnacentral:misc_RNA from 1 species
GAAAUGCGAUAAGUAAUGUGAAUUGCAGAAUUCAGUGAAUCAUCGAAUCUUUGAACGCACCUUGCGCUCCUUGGUAUUCCUUGGAGCAUGCCUGUUUGAGUAUCAUGAAAUCUUCAAAGUAACUCUUUUGUUAACUCAAUUGGUUUCUACUUUGGUAUUGGAGGUCUUUGCAGCUUCACACCUGCUCCUCUUUGUUCAUUAGCUGGAUCUCAGUGUUAUGCUUGGUUCCACUCGGCGUGAUAAGUUAUCUAUCGCUGAGGACACUGUAAAAGGUGGCCAAGCUAAAUGCAGAUGAACCGCUUCUAAUAGUCCAUUGACUUGGACAAUACUUUUAUGAUCUGAUCUCAAAUCAGGUAGGACUACCCGCUGAACUUAAGC